UACGAAGGGGGCUAGCGUUGCUCGGAAUGACUGGGCGUAAAGGGCGCGUAGGCGGAUUGCUUUGUCGGGCGUGAAAUUCCAGGGCUUAACCUUGGGGCUGCGUUCGAGACGGGUGAUCUUGAGUUCGGAAGAGGGUCGUGGAAUUCCCAGUGUAGAGGUGAAAUUCGUAGAUAUUGGGAAGAACACCGGUGGCGAAGGCGGCGACCUGGUCCGAGACUGACGCUGAGGCGCGAAAGCGUGGGGGAGCAAACAGG
rnacentral:rRNA from 1 species